GAUGAACGCUGGCGGCGUGCCUAAUACAUGCAAGUCGAGCGAACGGACGAGACGCUUGCUUCUCUGAUGUUAGCGGCGGACGGGUGAGUAACACGUGGAUAACCUACCUAUAAGACUGGGAUAACUUCGGGAAACCGUAGCUAAUACCGGAUAAUAUUUUGAACCGCAUGGUUCAAAAGUGAAAGACGGUCUUGCUGUCACUUAUAGAUGGAUCCGCGCUGCAUUAGCUAGUUGGUAAGGUAACGGCUUACCAAGGCAACGAUGCAUAGCCGACCUGAGAGGGUGAUCGGCCACACUGGAACUGAGACACGCUCCAGAGUCCUACGGGAGGCAGCAGAAGGGAAUCUGCCGCAGUGGGCGAAAGCCUGACGGAGCAACGCCGCGUGAGUGAUGAAGGUCUUCGGAUCGUAAAACUCUGUUAUUAGGGAAGAACAGAUGUGUAAGUAACUGUGCACAUCUUGACGGUACCUGAUCAGAAAGCCACGGCUAACUACGUG
rnacentral:rRNA from 1 species